rnacentral:lncRNA from 1 species
GAGAAACUAAGAUGGUGGUUUUGAGAAGUUGAUGGUUUAGACCAUCAUUCAUGGCUGCUAAUUUCUUCCAAUAAGCAGCAUAGAUGAGGCGUGUAAAAGAAUCAAUGUCUGGGGCCAACAGGCAAGAGACAAAGGUACAAUUCAACUAACAACAAUAACUGCAUAAGCCAAGCAGACUCGGCCAAGUUCCAUACUCGACAAUUGGUUCAAACGUCCCGUUAAAUUUUUUUUAUUAAAAUAAUUUAACAUCCUGGAAGCAGGUAGGCUAUUUUGCGUUAACACAAUCCGUUUGGUGAUCAGCCAAGUGUGGUAGAAUGGAAUAUCAACGAUUUGCAGCACCUGGCAACCGUAUGCUGGAUCAAAUUCGUCACAAUUGGGUCCGCUCUGCUUUUUUCAGCUUUUCGAUUGUCAAUCUAGUCGGAUAGAUUUUAAUGAAUUUAAAUAAUUUUAAAAUUUUUAAGUUAUAAUUAUUAUAAUUUAAAAUAUAAUAAUUUAUGUACUUUUACACGAUAGCAACACAAUUAAGAUUUACCGUAUAAAAAAGAAAAC